UUAUUUACCUUGUUGCUUCGGCGGGCCCGCCUUAACUGGCCGCCGGGGGGCUCACGCCCCCGGGCCCGCGCCCGCCGAAGACACCCUCGAACUCUGUCUGAAGAUUGUAGUCUGAGUGAAAAUAUAAAUUAUUUAAAACUUUCAACAACGGAUCUCUUGGUUCCGGCAUCGAUGAAGAACGCAGCGAAAUGCGAUACGUAAUGUGAAUUGCAAAUUCAGUGAAUCAUCGAGUCUUUGAACGCACAUUGCGCCCCCUGGUAUUCCGGGGGGCAUGCCUGUCCGAGCGUCAUUGCUGCCCUCAAGCACGGCUUGUGUGUUGGGCCCCGUCCUCCGAUUCCGGGGGACGGGCCCGAAAGGCAGCGGCGGCACCGCGUCCGGUCCUCGAGCGUAUGGGGCUUUGUCACCCGCUCUGUAGGCCCGGCCGGCGCUUGCCGAUCAACCCAAAUUUUUAUCCAGGUUGACCUCGGAUCAGGUAGGGAUACCCGCUGAACUUAAGCAUACAU
rnacentral:rRNA from 1 species